UACUGCAUCUGGAGCUGCAGGGAGGGUGACUGUAGGAGUAGAUUCAACAUGGACAUUAGAUGGGCUGAGGAGGAAAACAAAGCCUGUCAACAGGAACUGGGACUCCUAUCUGCAACGAUAUCAGGAACUCAAAGGGAGAAAGAAAGACAAAACUGACUUGUUGCAUGACAAGCGGGAGAAUGCCGAUCCAAGGAACAACGAUAAUGAGGAUGCUGACAAUGUGAAACAAGAGGAAGAUCAGGAGGCGCAUGUCAACAUUCAAGAGGGAAGCCCACAAAAAAAUGUCAGCGUGGAAGAUCAUACUUCAGGAAAACCACCCAUUAGAGAGAGAUCCAAAAACUCUCGACUGUGCGUUCUCCUUUAAGGCCAUCACAUCUCACUUAGAUCUGUAAUGAACCGGUUUUUCCGCACAUUUAUUUAAACUUCCACACCCUUAUGUCUGUGCUUGACUUCUGCAGUAAUGUGGACAAAGGGUGAAGCUCAAAGAUGACUAGAAACACGGUGCAAGAAGUUUCCUUUUUGAAUAAGAAAAGCUAUACGUCUAUCAGUAUUAAAUUCAAAACAGGCACACUGUUUGAACAAGUGGUCUUUUAAU